rnacentral:rRNA from 1 species
UACGUAGGGGGCAAGCGUUGUCCGGAUUUAUUGGGCGUAAAGAGCUCGUAGGCGGCUCGGUAAGUCGGAUGUGAAACCUCCAGGCUCAACCUGGAGACGCCAUCUGAUACUGCCGUGGCUUGAGUCCGGUAGAGGAGCAGGGAAUUCCUGGUGUAGCGGUGAAAUGCGCAGAUAUCAGGAGGAACACCAGCGGCGAAGGCGCUGCUCUGGGCCGGUACUGACGCUGAGGCACGAAAGCGUGGGGAGCAAACAGG